rnacentral:lncRNA from 1 species
ACUACCUCAACACUAGGAACAUCAUACCUUGCAUCAACAUUACUCUUCAUUACAUAGCUAAACAUAAAUAUCAACUUAGAGAGGCGAAUUAUUCAAAGAUGAUAGGCCCGAAUCUAUAAGGUGAUAAUCACCAUCCACCCAUGUACCUGUUCGAUUUCAUUAGGUGCCUUUACUGUUGAACCCCUUACACAUUAUAACUUUCAAUUUCUAAACUCUACUACCAACAUUUUCCUUGAGCACUUAGAACGAGGUUGCAAAUACUCCACUUGAUGCCAUAUUAUGGUUGCAAACACUCCAAAACUAUUUCUAGAUAUUUUGCCUAACCCAGCUUGCAACCUACGAUCUUGCUAGUUGUACUGGCCUAAUCCGUGAAUCCUACAAGAUUUUCAACCAAUCCUAUAGGAAAAUCUAAACAAGCCCUAAGUGAAUUAGAAUUCCUAAACCUAACGAUCAGAAAGCAAUAUCUUUCCCAAUGAAAGGAACUCGAUUCUAUCAUUGACUGUGUCUAUCAAACUACGUUCAUGAUAAUCAUAGGACAGCAUACCCCAUUAGCAAUCCUUGGAAAGGUCCAUAAUGAUGUUGCAUCAAGACACAUGGAAAGUUUCUUGAGAGGAUGCUUAUAAGCAUGCCACACAAAAAGAUAAGAACAUUGGGAUGAAUCUUCUCCAAUGAUUCCUCAACCAGGUCCCUUUCAUUGCAAUCUUCAUUUAAGUCUUAAAGAUCCAAAAUAUUAUAACCAAUAUUAUCAUGAAUCAAGGAUAUCUAAAUAUUGUACCAUUCAUCAAUCUAUCCUCAUGAGUAUUAUCUCCCAUAAAUAGGCUGCUUAUGAAGUGUUCAUGAGUUUAUCUUUUAAAUAUAUGUAUCUUAGAUACAAGCACAAUUUAAAAAGGGGAAAAAUGUCCUUACCUUCUCACUACCUCAACACUAGGAACAUCAUACCUUGCAUCAACAUUACUCUUCAUUACAUAGCUAAACAUAAAUAUCAACUUAGAGAGGCAAAUUAUUCAAAGAUGAUAGGCCCGAAUCUAUAAGGUGAUAAUCACCAUCCACCCAUGUACCUGUUCAAUCUCAUUAGGUGCCUUUACUGUUGAACCCCUUACACAUUAUAACUUUCAAUUUCUAAACUCUACUACCAACAUUUUCCUCGAACACUUAGAACGAGGUUGCAAAGACUCCACUUCAUGCCAUAUUAUGGUUGCAAACACUCCAAAACUAUUUCUGGAUAUUUUGCCUAACCCAGCUUGCAACCUACGAUCUUGCUAGUUGUACUGGCCCAAUCCGUGAAUCCUACAAGAUUUUCAACCAAUCCUAUAGAAAAAUCUAAACAAGCCCUAAGUGAAUUAGAAUUCCUAAACCUAACGAUCAGAAAGCAAUAUCCUUCCCAAUGAAAGGAACUCGAUUCUAUCAUUGACUGUGUCUAUCAAACUACGUUCAUGAUAAUCAUAGGACAGCAUACCCCAUGAGCAAUCCUUGGAAAGGUCCAUAAUGAUGUAGCAUCAAGACACAUGAAAAGUUUCUUGAGAGGAUGCUUAUAAGCAUGCCACACAAAAGAUAAGAACAUCGAGAUGAAUCUUCUCCAAUGAUUCCUCAACCAGGUCCCUUUCAUUGCAAUCUUCAUGUAAGUCUUAAAGAUCCAAAAUAUUAUAACCAAUAUUAUCAUGAAUCAAGGAUAUCUAAAUAUUGUACCAUUCAUCAAUCUAUCCUCAUGAGUAUUAUCUCCCAUAAAUAGGCUGCUUAUGAAGUGUUCAUGAGUUUAUCUUUUAAAUAUAUGAAUCUCAGAUACAAGCACAAAUUAAAAAGGGGAAAAAUGUCCUUACCUUCUCACUACCUCAACACUAGGAACAUCAUACCUUGCAUCAACAUUACUCUUCAUUAC